GAUGAAGAACGUAGUGAAAUGCGAUAAGUAAUGUGAAUUGCAGAAUUCAGUGAAUCAUCGAAUCUUUGAACGCACCUUGCGCUCCUUGGUAUUCCAAAGAGCAUGCCUGUUUGAGUAUCAUUAAAUUAUCAACUGUACCAAUUUGGUUGCAGAUUGGAUGUGGGAGAUUUUGCAGGCUUUUGAUUUCUCUUUGAGAAAACGGUCAGCUCUCCUGAAAUAUAUUAGCAGUGCCUUUGUUGGUUCAUUAAGUGUGAUAAUUUAUCUACAUCUUAACAUGGUAACUUCAUUUGUGUAAAGGUCAUAUUGCUUCUAAUUGUCUUUGGACAUAAAAAAAAAAAAACAUAUAAUUGUAUGGAAAACUUGAUCUCAAAUCAGGCAGGACUACCCGCUGAACUUAAGCAUAUCAAUAAGCGGAGGA
rnacentral:misc_RNA from 1 species